UGCAAUUUUUAUAAUUUCUUUUUUGAACCAUGAAUUAUUUAGAAGUAUUUUUAAAUCCUAAUUUUUUUGGUCACAUUUUGGUCAGAGAACAUGUUCUAUAUGAUGUAGAUGUUUUUUGAGACUUUUUUGGUGGCUUAGUCCAUUAUGAAUUUUGUAAAUGUUCUAUGUGUGAUUGAAAAAAAUGUGACUUUUCUAACUACUGUUUGUUCUAUAUGUGGCCAUUGAAUCAAUUAUUGAGAAACAUAAGUUAAAAUUCCUUACUAAAAUUGUGGACUUCUAGGUUCUUUCCAGUAAAUCUACCCUUUGUUGUUGUUGUUUUGAGGCUAUGUUGCUAGGUGCAUAAAGGUUCAAAAUUGUUCUAUCUUCCUGGUGAAUUGUCCUUUUCAUUAUAAAGCAAUAACCCUUUUUAUCCCUAAUAAUUCCUCCCUUUUACCACUUAAAAUGAUUUUUUUUGGUAGUUAUAUGUUUAUAUUAAGUUUUGCUGUUGUGAUUGUUAAUAUUUUUCAGAUAUUUCCCCCACUUUUUUACUUUUAAUUUUUGUUGUUCUUGUUUUGUUUUGUUUUUAGAGAUGGGGUCUUGCUUUGGUACACAGGCUAGAGUGCAGUGAUCAUGACCAUAGCUCACUACAGCCUCAAACUCUUGGGCUCUAGCAAUCAUCUCUCCUCAGCCUCCCAAAGAGCUGGGACUACAGGCAUGCACCGAAGCUUUAUUUUCAAAAUAUAAUUUGGACUCCUGCGUUCUACAUUGAUCCACGUCACAAUGUCUGGAAAGAAAACCACCCACCGUGCAGGAUGCAGAGUUAGUAAAUUAGAAAGGUGAAAAGUUUAAUGAAGAGUCUAUCUUCUGGAGAAGAAGUACAACAAGGCGGAAUGCUUAAUAUUUUUUUUUGUUUGUUUAGAUUAAACCAACUGAGAGCUCUUUACAUUGUUUACAUUUAUGUUACUCAGUAAGAAAAGCUUUUAACAUUUUCUCUGUUUCAUGUGAAUUGAAGUUGUUUUUAACUAUAUACGAGGGAGGGAAAGAGUCUUCACUAAAGAUGCAGCUCAAGCCUGUUUAGACAGACUCAACCAAUUUUUAAUUUUCUAGGGAGUUAAGGAGUGUGGCAUUUUGAAUUUGUGGUUAAGGGCCUGACUAGAGAUUUUGAUACCAAAGGUUUCGAUCCUGACAUCUUUUGUUCAUGUUGCUAUGUAACUUUGUGCAUUUUUUUUUCCAGGCAGGGUCUCACUCUUUCACCCAGGCUGGAGUGCAGUGGCAUGAUCAUGGCUCACUGCAGCCUCAAACUCUCAGGCUUUGAGCUUCUGAAGACCUUUGUUUCUUUAUAUGUAAUCUGGGGUAAACCCAUGUUGUAUUUUUAAAAGAACAUUUAUUUUUAUUUAUUCUUAUAGACUAAAAUAUCUAUUCUUUAUAGAAUAUUUAUAAGCAUUCAUAUAUAACAUUAUACAAUUUCAAUAAAUAUAUAUAUAUUUAUUUACACACACACACACCCCCCCCACAAUCGUUCAUAAUCCAGCCACUCAGAGAUAACCUCUAUUCCAUUUAUGUUGGACUCCCAGCCACUUAGCCAUCCAUCCGUGCACAUCUGUACAUGUGCAUGAAUCUAACCACCCAUUAAUGAAGACUAGAUUACACAGCACCUAUUUUUUUUUAUAACCUGGUAUAUCCAAUUAAUAUAUGGUGAGUAUCUUCCCACAUUAUUAUAUAUUCUUCCAUAUAAUGGCAAUAAUUUUAUUUUUGAAAAAUCCCCCAUAAUUUAUUGAACCAGGACCAUAUUGUUAGGCAUUUGGUUUGUUCUCUUUUUGUUAGUCAUUGUAAACAAUGCUGCAGCGAAAUCUCUAUGUGUUAUAUCCUUAGGCACAUCUGUGAUUAUUUGCUUAGUCUGAUUUAAACUGGUUGUGAUAACGUGUUUUAAAGAAGUGUGUAUAUAUCUCAUUAUGGAUUAGUGUUUAUGGCACUGUAAUAAAGAUACUUCCAAUACAACU
rnacentral:lncRNA from 10 species